GCCAGUGUGGUAUAGUGGUUUGAUUGCUGGACCAGAAUUCUGGAAGACCAGGAUUCGAAUCCCAGCUCAGCCA